rnacentral:rRNA from 1 species
UACGAAGGGGGCUAGCGUUGUUCGGAAUUACUGGGCGUAAAGGGCGCGUAGGCGGUACUUCAAGUCAGGCGUGAAAGCCCCGGGCUCAACCUGGGAACCGCGCUUGAGACUGGAGAACUAGAGUUCGGGAGAGGAUGGUGGAAUUCCCAGUGUAGAGGUGAAAUUCGUAGAUAUUGGGAAGAACACCGGUGGCGAAGGCGGCUCACUGGCUCGUAACUGACGCUCAUGCACGACAGCGUGGGGAUCAAACAGG